rnacentral:rRNA from 1 species
ACGAACGCUGGCGGCAUGCCUAACACAUGCAAGUCGAACGAGACCUUCGGGUCUAGUGGCGCACGGGUGCGUAACGCGUGGGAAUCUGCCCCUCGGUUCGGAAUAACAGUGAGAAAUUGCUGCUAAUACCGGAUAAUGACUUCGGUCCAAAGAUUUAUUGCCGAGGGAUGAGCCCGCGUAGGAUUAGCUAGUUGGUGGGGUAAUGGCCUACCAAGGCGACGAUCCUUAGCUGGUCUGAGAGGAUGAUCAGCCACACUGGGACUGAGACACGGCCCAGACUCCUACGGGAGGCAGCAGUGGGGAAUAUUGGACAAUGGGCGAAAGCCUGAUCCAGCAAUGCCGCGUGAGUGAUGAAGGCCUUAGGGUUGUAAAGCUCUUUUACCCGGGAUGAUAAUGACAGUACCGGGAGAAUAAGCUCCGGCUAACUCCGU